AGGACGAACGCUGGCGGCGUGCUUAACACAUGCAAGUCGAGCGAGGCCCUUCCUUCGGGAAGGUGCCCUAGCGGCGAACGGGUGAGUAACACGUGGGCAACCUGCCCCUAGCACUGGGAUAACUCCGGGAAACCGGGGCUAAUACCGGAUAUGACCUCCGAGGGCAUCCUUGGUGGUGUAAAGGAUUCUGGCUAGGGAUGGGCCCGCGGCCUAUCAGCUUGUUGGUGGGGUAAUGGCCUACCAAGGCGACGACGGGUAGCCGGCCUGAGAGGGCGACCGGCCACACUGGGACUGAGACACGGCCCAGACUCCUACGGGAGGCAGCAGUGGGGAAUAUUGCACAAUGGGCGAAAGCCUGAUGCAGCGACGCCGCGUGAGGGAUGACGGCCUUCGGUUGUAAACCUCUUUCAGCAGGGACGAAGCGAAAGUGACGGUACCUGCAGAAGAAGCACCGGCCAACUACGUGCCAGCAGCCGC
rnacentral:rRNA from 1 species